rnacentral:snRNA from 1 species
GAAAGAAAAAGUCAGAAAG